CUGUGGCAGGUGCCUGUAGUCCCAGCUACUUGGGAGUCUGAGUGAGAUAUGAAUUUGUAUGAUGAUGUCUCCUGACUCCAGCCAGGCUGCCUUUCCAGACAGAACCACCUUGUGUCAGGAGUCCUGAAGCCAGAAUGUCUUUUCAGCCUUUGGAGGGCUCACACUGGUCCACGUGGAUGUGACAGAGGACGCCCAUGCUCCAUUUGCAUGGCCUGGGCAUAGGAUUGGGACCCCUUUGCUGCAAACGCCUCAUACCCUACAAUUCACUGUAUUAUCUCAACAGCCUUCAGCAGUGAACUCUUGUCUCCUGGGUUUAAUUUGACUUGUACUUUCCACAGGCAGCAUAGAAACAGUCUGUCACGAUUCUCCAGGCAAGAUGACCCUGAGCUUCUGGAGAAGGUGGUCAAGGUGCAGGGGUCACUCUCCCCACUGUCUCCUGCCGGGGUCACUCUCCCCACUGCCUCCUGCCGGGGUCACUCACCCCACUGUCUCCUGCCGGGGUCACUCUCCCCACUGUCUCCUGCCUUGAUCUUCCUUCUGUGUCUCAGGGAUGCUCCGCCCUCUUCCUGCCUAUGCCAAUCCGUGAACUCUCUCUAAUCCUUACUACAAGUUGCAUCCAAAACAGAGCACUCCCGAGGGAAGGUGAGAGGCCCAUUCUAUACUCGGGAAGAGGAGCAAAGUGCUGGAAGGUGUGGUUUGUCUCUUCCUGGACAAAUAAAGUCAUGAGGGGGGAUAAA